AAUUCUUGAGAUGUCUUUCCCCU
rnacentral:piRNA from 1 species